AUUGAACGCUGGCGGCAGGCCUAACACAUGCAAGUCGAACGAGUGGCGGACGGGUGAGUAAUUUCUGGGAUCCUGCCUGAUGGAGGGGGAUAACUACUGUAAACGGUAGCUAAUACUGCAUACCAUGGGAUGUGCCGAGGUGGCAUUAGCUAGUCGGUGGGGAAAAGGCUCACCAAGGCGACGAUCCCUAGCUGGUCUGAGAGGCUGACCAGCCACACUGGAACUGAGACACGGUCCAGACUCCUACGGGAGGCAGCAGUGGGGAAUAUUGCACAAUGGGCGAAAGCCUGAUGCAGCAAUGCCGCGUGAGUGAAGAAGGCCUUCGGGUUGUAAAAUACUGUCAGCAGGGAAGCGUUACCCAAAGAAAAAGCCCCGGCUAACUCCGUGCCAGCAGCCGCGGUAAUUC
rnacentral:rRNA from 1 species